CACUUGUGCUUCUCUCAUAUGUAAUUUAAUACCAUGAAAACAUUCGUUAUAUAGAAAAAAAAAGUAAUUAAAAUUUUCAUGUGAUUUUGUCCUUUUUUGUUUUUUUUUUAAACAACACGUGAUUUUGUCUCUACCAAACUCAUAUCUUUAGAAGGAAGAGGAAGAGCAUUUAAGAGAUGCACGGCGUCUUCAUGUCCGGAAGAGUAGUAAAAUCUCUUUUUAAGUCCAUUUGGAUGCUUCGAAUCAUAUAUUUAUGGUUCUUUCUUUGACAUGUCAACGUGGUGUCUCAUGAACCAUCGGUUAGUGAGCCUCACCCACACCUAACCUUUAUCUCUCUUUCUCUACUCGUCCUCAGAUAAAACGUAAAAAAAAAGUAACAAACAUUUACUACAAACAAAAUGGGAUAAUAGACAUAAGUAUUAAAUUCCAGAAUAUAUUAAAAUAGAUGCGUUACGUUACUAAAUUAAUCAACAUGACAUAAGCAAAACCAAUACAUUAGAUUUCAUUUCUUUUCUAAAAAUGUAAUAUUGACUAGAAAUUUUAGUCAUACUGUUUUUUUGGUAUAAAAUUUUUAGUCAGACUUGUGGUCUAUUGCAUGGUGAACAUUCAUUGUCUAUAAAACAGUAAUAUUUUAAGGAUUUUUAAUAUGUAAUUAUUGGCUUCCACGAGGGUAAUUUUAAUAUUAUUAGUUUCCACGAGAUCUUCUUCUUUUUUUGUUUUCAUAGAGAGAAAAGUGCAUGAUUCAUGAUUCAACGGUUUGUUAUAUAAACCAACACAUAAGUCGGCAACUAACCUUGACUCUCUGAACCAGAGAGAGAAGUAGUGAGUUGCGUUUGGAGAAGAGAUGGAUCCGACGACGCCGUUGCUUACGCACGGUGGCCAAGUAGA
rnacentral:lncRNA from 1 species